rnacentral:rRNA from 1 species
GACGAACGCUGGCGGCGUGCCUAACACAUGCAAGUCGAACGGAAAGGCCCUGCUUGUGCGGGGUGCUCGAGUGGCGAACGGGUGAGUAACACGUGAGUAACCUGCCCUGGACUUUGUGAUAACUUCAGGCGACUGGGGCUAAUACCGGAUAGGAGCGCCUGCUGCAGGGUGGGGGUCGGAAAGUUUGGGCGGUUGGGGCUGGACGCGCGGGUUACCAGCUGGUUGGUGGGGUAGUGGCUUACCAAGUCAUAGACGGGUAGCCGGCCUGGGAGGGUGGCCGGCGACAAUGGUACUGCGAGACGGCGCAGACGCCUACGUUGGGCAGCGGUGGAGAGCAUUACACAAUGGUCGCAAGCCUGAUGCGGCGGUGCCGCGUGCGGGAUGCCGGCCUUCGGGUUGUAAACCGCUUUCGCCUGUGACGAUGCGGGAUUGACGUUACUGACUGAAGAAGCACCGGCUAACUACGUG